rnacentral:lncRNA from 1 species
CACCGGUGCUGUUGAGAUAGACUGAGCAAAAGCUGCGGCGUGGGACUUUCACAGACACAACACCAACCAUAACACGGAUGCAGAUUACUUAAAUGCUCUGCUCUGGUCACCCCUUCUCUAGAUAAUUUCAGCUGGGACUCGUUAAUGGAGAAGCUCUCACUGGCCAAAUCUGAUCACUUCUUCCAGCCGUCAGCCUGCGUGGCUGUUAGGAGUUGGUAUCUGUAAGUCAUCGAGCCACCUGCCUGCAGAUAAGCUGGCCUCUGGUGGCUGGGUGUGUGUGUGUGUGUAACUGGGUGAUGGGAGGAGAUGGAGGAGGGAAGGAGCGUCAAGGACGUGCCUGUUGCUGUCUGAAGGAGUUGGUACAAAGCAGAUCUGUACAGACCAUCGCUCCAUCGCUCCAGUACAGAAGUGUCUUGUCACAGUAGUGAAGGACUGUCACAUCUUGCACACCAUGUUAUUUUCAUUGCCAGCAUAGCGAGUAGAAAAGCGUCACAACCGAGUUUCCUCUUGGCAGGAUUUAUAUUGCCUAAUUUUAAAUAUCUACAGCGUAGAUGUCAAAGUAAGAGCUCAUUAUCCAAAGUCGCCG